rnacentral:rRNA from 1 species
UACGGAGGGGGCUAGCGUUGUUCGGAAUUACUGGGCGUAAAGCGCACGUAGGCGGCUUUGUAAGUUAGAGGUGAAAGCCCGGGGCUCAACUCCGGAAUUGCCUUUAAGACUGCAUCGCUAGAAUUGUGGAGAGGUAAGUGGAAUUCCGAGUGUAGAGGUGAAAUUCGUAGAUAUUCGGAAGAACACCAGUGGCGAAGGCGACUUACUGGACACAUAUUGACGCUGAGGAGCGAAAGCGUGGGGAGCGAACAGG